UACGUAGGGUGCAAGCGUUAAUCGAAAUUAUUGGGCGUAAAGCGCGUGUAGGCGGCUUUGCAAGUCGGGUGUGAAAGCCCUCAGCUCAACUGAGGAAGUGCGCCCGAAACUGCAGAGCUUGAGUGCCGGAGAGGGUGGCGGAAUUCCCCAAGUAGAGGUGAAAUUCGUAGAUAUGGGGAGGAACACCGGUGGCGAAGGCGGCCACCUGGACGGUAACUGACGCUGAGACGCGAAAGCGUGGGGAGCAAACAGG
rnacentral:rRNA from 1 species